rnacentral:rRNA from 1 species
UGUCUCAUUCGGAUUGGAGUCUGCAACUCGACUCCAUGAAGCUGGAUUCGCUGUAAUCGCGCAUCAGCCAUGGCGCGGUGAAUACGUUCCCGGGCCUUGUACACACCGCCCGUCAAGCCAUGGGAGCCGGGGUGCCUGAAGUACGUGACCGCGAGGAGCGUCCUAGGGCAAAACUGGUGACUGGGGCUAAGUCGUAACAAGGUAUC